UGGUUUUUCCAUUUUUUUUGUCUUUCCGUGGGCAUUUUUUUAUGUACUUGGGACCGAUUCCAAGACAGAGAUAAACUACGAUGGAGGGGGAGGGAGGGGGAGAGAAGAUGAGUGGAAUUAGAGUUAUAAAGUAAACAAGAGAAAGAAAGUCCAUCCAUUUUCUUCGUU
rnacentral:ribozyme from 12 species